CCGACUUUGCGUAUUAGCUCUAAGUUCUUUUGGUCCGUUUUUAUGAUCCCCGACUUUGCGUAUUAGCUCUAAGUUCUUUCGGUCUGUUUUCAUGAUCCCCGACUUUGCGUAUUAGCUCUAAGUUCUUUCGGUCCGUUUUUAUGAUCCACGACUUUACGUAUUUGCUGUAAGUUCUUUCGUUCCGUUUUUAUGAUCCCCGACUUUGCGUAUUAGCUCUAAGUUCUUUCGGUCCAUUCUUAUGAUCCCCGACUUUGCGUAUUAGCUAUAAGUUCUUUUGGUCCGUUUUUAUGAUCCCCGACUUUGCGUAUUACCUCUAAGUUCUUUCGGUCCGUUUUUAUGAUCCCCGACUUUGCGUAUUAGCUCUAAGUUCUUUCGGUCUGUUUUCAUGAUCCCCGACUUUGCGUAUUAGCUCUAAGUUCUUUCGGUCCGUUUUUAUGAUCCACGACUUUGCAUAUUAGCUCUAAGUUCUUUCGGUCCGUUUUUAUGAUCCCCAACUUUGCGUAUUCGCUCUAAGUUCUUUCGGUCCGUUUUUUUGAUCCACGAGUUUGCAUAUUAGCUCUAAGUUCUUUCGGUCUGUUUUUAUGAUCCCCGACUUUGCGUAUUAGCUCUAAGUUCUUUCGGUCGUUUUAUGAUCCCCAACUUUUCAUAUUAGCUCUAAGUUCUUUCCUUCCAUUUUUAUGAUCCCGGACUUUGCGUAUUAGCUCUAAGUUCUUUCGGUCCGUUUUUAUGAUCCCUGACUUUACGUAUUAGCUCUAAGUUCUUUCGGUCCGUUUUUAUGAUCCCCGACUUUGCGUAUUAG
rnacentral:lncRNA from 1 species